rnacentral:rRNA from 1 species
UACGUAGGGGGCAAGCGUUGUCCGGAAUCAUUGGGCGUAAAGAGCGUGUAGGCGGCUCGGUAAGUCCGCUGUGAAAGUCCAGGGCUCAACCCUGGAAUGCCGGUGGAAACUGUCGAGCUAGAGUCCGGAAGAGGCGAGUGGAAUUCCUGGUGUAGCGGUGAAAUGCGCAGAUAUCAGGAGGAACACCGGUGGCGAAGGCGGCGAUCUGGGUCGAUACUGACGCUGAGGUGCGAAAGCGUGGGGAGCAAACAGG